GUAAUACGUAGGUGGCAAGCGUUCUCCGGAAUUAUUGGGCGUAAAGGGAACGCAGGCGGUCUCUUAAGUCUGAUGUGAAAGCCUUCGGCUUAACCGGAGUAGGGCAUUGGAAACUGGGGAACUUGAGUGCAGAAGAGGAGAGUGGAAUUCCAUGUGUAGCGGUGAAAUGCGUAGAUAUAUGGAAGAACACCAGUGGCGAAAGCGGCUCUCUGGUCUGUAACUGACGCUGAGGUGCGAAAGCGUGGGUAGCAAACAGG
rnacentral:rRNA from 1 species